UCUGAAAUUAAGACGUACACUAUGUAUAAAUGUAUUUUUAUAUAAAAGUGAAUGUAUAUUCCAUCAUAAACAAUAUUCUUAUGUUUUUGUUUUUUAGAUGCAACCCCAAAUACAAACGUUCUUGGCAGCAGAUAAAGAAAAAAUGUAAAAAAUAUAAUUCAAAUUGGUGAGUAUUUACCGUAACCUUUUAUUUUCAAGAACCCGUCACAAUUUUUUUUUUUUUUUUUUUUUUUUUUUUUUUUUUUUUGCAGCGAACAGUAAAAAGUGUGAGAUUCGGAAAAUACAGUGUGGCGGAGGAUUUGGCUCCGAGUAGCAAUAAGGGGUGGCUGAUUAUGGACGAGAUUACAGGUGCUGUAGAAUCUGACCCUGGUGCUGGCUCCUCUAAGCAAGUGACACUGGUAGAGGGUAAUGCAGUGUCCCUGUUGAAGCCAGCGCACGUUCACACAGCCUCCCACACAGAGGUGAAGGAAAUGAAGAGACCCUCUUCACAAGUAAUGUGUACAAGGUGGAAACUGACUCCGUCUGGACUGCACAUUAAAGGAGCUGGACUGUAAGCUGAGGAGCCUCCAAAUAAAAUAAAUAAAUUGGAGGUCA
ensembl:lncRNA